rnacentral:lncRNA from 1 species
UUUUGGAAAAUUAUCGUUUUAGUCCAUAAAAUUAGGAGACUAAACCUGGUUUUAUUUUAUGCAUUGGGAUCUCUUGUUUGAGUUGCUUUUGAGUAUAUUUUCAUAUUGUUGUAGGUUCUCCUAACGAUCCUCAAUAGGAUUUUCGGGUCUUUCGUCUGACAUUCCUUUUAAUUCUAUAUUUUCCGGGUGAGUGGAAUAAUCUUUAAUAUGCAUAUAUGAUAAGUAAAUAUGUAUGUUGAUUAUACAAUGAGUACAACUCGUUAAUUCUUUGAAUAAUUAUAUAUGUUGCUUAUUUUCCGAGUACUCAUUUAUUCUUGAAUUUGCACUCGCAAUCUGUCGAACUAUAUUCUAUUUGAUAUGAUAUACGUUUCUUUGAUGAUUAUGUGAAUAUCUAUUAUGCCUUGAUAUGUUGAGUGUUCCUGCUUCUUCAGUUUUGAGUCGGUAUGCCUUGCUUAUCUUUCAAGGCUGUUUGAUUCGAUGUCUUAGGCGCUCCACUAUUACUUUGUUUUGAUUAAGUUUGGAUUUUUGACAAUGUAAUGAGUAUUAUGGAUUAUUGUUUUUGUUUUAAUUACUGAUGAGGAGUUUUAAACUAUCUUCUGGUUUCAUCAGUAACUCCAUGCUAACGGAGAGUAGUUAGCCUGUGUGCACAUAGUAUUCUGUAUGUAUACCUAGCUGGUGAGAGAGGCAUCAGCCUGUGGCGACUGAUCAUCCCACAGUGGUCACCUUCGGGUGUCAUCUGGUCUGGUCACCUUCGGGUGUCAUCUGGUCACCUUCGGGUGUCAUCUGAUCUCUGACAUAUAGUCCACUACGUUAUGAUGAUACGUUUAGUAUGUAUAUGAUAUGUAUAUGUAUAUGUACAUCAAGAUAAAUGAUCUUGCGAACUAUUAAUAUCAAGAAUAUCUAAAAUGUAUAUUAAUUAUUAUUCCCUCACUGAGUUGGUUGAACUCACCCCUCAUUCUUAAUAUUAUUUCAGGUUCUUAGUUUCUGAUAGCAGGUGAACUUUGUUGAGUGUUCCUGCUUCUUCAGUUUUGGGUCAGUAUGCCUUGCUUAUCUUUCAAGGCUGUUUGAUUCGAUGUCUUAGGCGCUCCACUAUUACCUUGUUUUAAUUAAGUUUGGAUUUUGACAAUGUAAUGAGUAUUAUGGAUUAUUAUUUUUGUUUUAAUUACUGAUGAGGAGUUUUAAACUAUCUUUUGGUUUCAUCAGUUUUGAAUAAUAUAAGAUUUCUGAAGAUUAUGAAAUGCUGCGU